ensembl:lncRNA
UGUCUGAUAACUGAUCUUAAUCUACCCAGAGUAUUGGUUCAGCUGCCAGCUGUGUUUUCAUGUUCUAGCAAACCAAAAUGAGUGCAUGCCAAGUGUAUAGUGACAUUUUACACAGUGCUGCUCUACACUGUUCUCCAGGCUGGAGAAGGGCCUGGUGCAGAGCUUGAGUGCAGCCAGGUUUUACUCAAAGGGGCAGGAGACCCACUGUCUCCAGACUUCUCAGCCCAGAGGAGCCACUGGGUACAACAAAAGCAUAGUAACUCCAGGUUCCACAGUGUCGUGAGAAGGGUAACCCAGGUAUUUCAUGAGCUGCUUGAAAUAUUUGGAGAUUGAAUAGAAUGACUGGAUAAAAACCAAACUACAAGACCAGCUGGUUCACUGAAAGGCUGCUACUUUUACUCAUUCCACUAACGCAGUGGCUGAAAAAAUGACUGAAAAUUGUAGUCAUUUUUCAAAAUGACUGAUUUCACAAGCAACUCAUCUGUCUGGCUGUACCACGAAUAGGAAAUUGCACUGAGACCAUUUCUGCAAAGGAUCUCCAUUAAAGCACGAAGAACAACAGUUUGAUUGUAACUGCUGUAAAACAAAGAGCU